rnacentral:ncRNA from 1 species
AUAAAAGUAAUGAUGGGAAGAGUAGGUAUAUGAAUUUAGUUAUAGAGAGCUGGAAGAGGUGAAAGCCGGUACUAAAAAGUAUGCUGAACAUGGCCCCUGAACUAUCUGUCUGAAAUUGAUAUCUACAUUAGGGCAGGUCGGAUUUGCAGCCGUUAAAAAUGCAAGGUGAUAAUUAGUCACUUGCCGAGGUUAUUAUGGUAACAUAAUAAUGAAUUAGGGUGGUAACGCGAGAUAUCCUCGUCCCUUUA